rnacentral:rRNA from 1 species
AUGAAACGUAUAACUAAGGAUAUGCCAGAAUUUGUCCUUGAUAAAGUUCUUGAUUUUGAUCUAGAAGAAAUUUUUAUGUAUUGUGCGGUGAAUUGCAUUGAAAAUCCUUAUAUUACCAAUUACAUAAAGAAAAGAAAACAAAUAGAAGAUGAAGAGAAUACUAAUGAAAGGGAAGAGGCUUCCCAAUAUCCUCCUAUUAUUUCUUAUGAUGAAUCAGGUAACGAGGAGGAGCCUUCUAUUCAACCAAUCUCAUUAAUAAGGAGCUCAAAAAAGAGGAUUAAACCCACACAUGAUGUGAAGAAGAAAAAGAAAAGACAGAGAAACAAAGGUAAAAAGGUAUCCCUCCCAAAUGAUGUUGCUCCUAUUACUCAUUGUGAUGAUGAUAAUUGCUAUACUAUUGGUGCUAUCCAUACUAUUAAUGAUGAGAGUGAUUAUGCCUAUGAUAUGAAAAGGCCCAAGCUUGGGGAUGCUAUGUUUGAUGAGAAUGACAUGUUUGAGAAUUUAUUUGCUGCAAUUAAUGUUUGUCCCAAGCUUGGGGAUGCUAUGUUUAAUGAAGAUGAUAUUUUUUAUCCCCCAAGUUUUGAUGAGCAAAUUUAUUAUGAUGAAAGCAUGCCUCCUAUUUAUGAUGAUUAUAUUGAUCAAAGUGGAUUUGGAGAGGUCAUGACUUUAUUUAGUAAUGAUUCCACUAUCUUGGAAGAGGUUUCAAUUGAUUAUGAUGAGAACAAAGUUGCUACUUAUGAUGAUUAUUGUGAUGACAUGUAUGAUAUAAAGAAUAAUGAUAACCAUGAAACUUGUCGUCAUGAUUUUAAUUUUCAAUUGGAUUAUGCCUCACAUGAUAGUUAUUUUGUUGAGUUUGCUCCCACUACUAUUCCGAAUGAGAAGAAUUUUGCUUAUGUGGAGAGUAGUAACAUUAUGCAAGUAGAUCAUGAAAAGAAUGAUUUAUGUGCUGGUUAUAUGGUUGAAUUCAUUCAUGAUGCUACUGAAAAUUAUUAUGAGAGAGGAUCAUAUGCUUCUACAUAUUGCAAUAAUAUCAAGUUUCCUCUCUAUGUGUUGAAAUUUUUGAAGUCAUGCUUGUUUUGCCUUCCUAUGCUAGUUGAUUCUUGCUCCAAUAAAUGGUUUGAUAACAAAAUCCCUAUGCAUAGGAAGUGGGUUAGACUUAAAUGUGCUAGUCAUAUUCUUCAUGUUGCUCUCUUUAUGUUUCAAUUCUUAUCUUUUAUGUGA